rnacentral:lncRNA from 1 species
AGAUAGUGUAGAGGCUUUUACUAGAUUGCCUUUCCUUUCCUUUUGCCCUCUGGUCCCCAUAGGGGCUUUGAAACUCAUGCAUUAUAAGUAGGUUCUAAGAUUCUGGGGUCAAGGAUUAUGAGAAUUGAGGGGUUGGUGCAUAAAGAGUUUGUUUUAAAUCUUACUUUAGGCCAGGUGCGGUGGCUUUUGCCUAUAAUCCCAGUACUUUGGGAGGCUGAGGCGGUCGGAUCAUGAGGUCAAGAGAUUGAGACCAUCUUGGCCAACAUGGUGAAACCCUGUCUCUACUAAAAAUACAAAAAUUAGCUGGGCGUGGUGGUGCACGCCUGUAGUCCCAGCUACUCAGGAGGCUGAGGCAGGAGAAUCGCUUGAACCCGGGAGGCAGAGGUUGCAGUGAGCGGAGAUCAUGCCAUUGCACUCCAGCCUGGGCAACAGGAGCGAGACUCCAUCUCAAAAAAAAAAAUCUUACUUUAAAUCCCCUGAAAAAUAUCUAAGAAACUCAGGCUACACCUGAUAUGGAAGACCUGGGUCAAUCAGUCCAUCAACAAAUCUUUAUUAAAUGCCACUAAAUGCAGGGCACCAUGCUCAGUGCUGUGGGCAGCUAUCUGAGUAGCUCUUGUUUUUACCGUAGAAUUGUGAUUUGCAGAUUCUGAUGAAAAGGACUAUUUAUGGCAUGCCAGAGCUUAUAAAGCUUAUGGCUGUUAAGUCUGUUUAAGCCUGAAACUGAGAUUGAGGCAUUUUCUUGGGGGAAGAAGAAAACAAAACUGAGUACCCAUCCCUCUGUUUGGAAGUGUGUAAGUUGAGCUCUUGUGUUAUGAAACAGUGGGAACUGAACUGAAAUUGGCUUCCCUGGGAAAAACAAUAAAUAGGAGGCUGCUGGAGCUCACUACAUCUGCAGGGAGGAUAAGGAUGAGAUUUAAGAAGAAAGAAAGAAAAGAAAGAAAAAGAAAGAAUGGAAAGAAAAGAAAAAGAAAGAAAGAAAAAGAAAAGAAAAAGAAAGAAAGAAGAAAGAGAAAAAGAAAAAGAGAAAGCCCAACAUUUUCAUGGAACUGUGUCUGGGCUCAGUUUCCCUCGCCUUGCUUCAUUCAGUCCAUCUUUCAUCUCUUAAAUCCCAGCAUUGGGUGGAGACUGAGUGGCAGAGAAGGAGACUCAUACCUCUGUUCCCUUAGCCUGGUCGUCUGCCUGGAGGAGCUGGACAUUUCCAACUUCAUCUGAAGAUCGCCAUUUUGGAUGUUGGAUACUUCUCCUUUCUUUUUUUUGGUUUUUUUUUUUUUUUUUUUGAGACGGAGUCUCUCUCUGUCACCAGGCUGGAGUGUGCAACCUCCGCCUCCCAGGUUCAAGCGAUUAUCCUGCCUCAGACUCCCAAGUAGCUGGGAUUACAGGUGCCAGCCACCACGCCCGGCUAAUUUUUGUAUUUUUAGUAGAGACGGGGUUUCACCAUGUUGGCCAGGAUGGUCUCGAUCUCUUGACCUCGUGAUCUGCCCAC